rnacentral:rRNA from 1 species
UAAAGAGGUCUCAAGCGUUGUUCGGAUUCAUUGGGCGUAAAGGGUGCGUAGGCGGCGCGGUAAGUCGGGUGUGAAAUCUCGGAGCUUAACUCCGAAACUGCAUUCGAUACUGCCGUGCUUGAGGACUGGAGAGGAGACUGGAAUUUACGGUGUAGCGGUGAAAUGCGUAGAUAUCGUAAGGAAGACCAGUGGCGAAGGCGGGUCUCUGGACAGUUCCUGACGCUGAGGCACGAAGGUCAGGGGAGCAAACGGG